UUGGAGGGCAAGUCUGGUGCCAGCAGCCGCGGUAAUUCCAGCUCCAAUAGCGUAUAUUAAAGUUGUUGCAGUUAAAAAGCUCGUAGUUGAACUUCGGGGUUUACCCAUUGGUCAGGCUUAAUUGUCUGUACUGGUGAGAUGAAUCUCUACCUUCUGAGGAACUUUCAUGCCACUUAUUUGGUGUGAUGGGAAAUCAGGACUGUUACUUUGAAAAAAUUAGAGUGUUUAAAGCAGGCUAACGUCUGAAUACAUUAGCAUGGAAUAAUAAAAUAGGACGGUGGUCCUGUUUUGUUGGUUUCUGAAUCACCGUAAUGAUUAAUAGGGAUAGUUGGGGGCAUUAGUAUUCAAUUGUCAGAGGUGAAAUUCUUGGAUUUAUUGUAGACUAACUUCUGCGAAAGCAUUUGCCAAGGAUGUUUUCAUUAAUCAAGAACGAAAGUUAGGGGAUCGAAGACGAUCAGAUACCGUCGUAGUCUUAACCAUAAACUAUGCCGACUAGGGAUCGGACGAUGUUAAAUUUUAUUGACUCGUUCGGCGCCUUACGGGAAAC
rnacentral:rRNA from 1 species